GAUGAACGCUGGCGGCGUGCCUAAUACAUGCAAGUCGAGCGAACAGAUAAGGAGCUUGCUCCUUUGACGUUAGCGGCGGACGGGUGAGUAACACGUGGGUAACCUACCUAUAAGACUGGAAUAACUCCGGGAAACCGGGGCUAAUGCAGGAUAACAUGUUGAACCGCAUGGUUCUACAGUGAAAGGCGGCUUUGCUGUCACUUAUAGAUGGACCCGCGCCGUAUUAGCUAGUUGGUGAGGUAACGGCUCACCAAGGCAACGAUACGUAGCCGACCUGAGAGGGGGGGCGGCCACACUGGGAAUAGACCCCCGGCCCGAACUCCACGGGGGGGAGCAGGGAGGGAACUUCCCGAAUGGGCGAAAGCCCGGAGGGAGAACCGACGGGGGAGUAUGAAGGUCCUUGGGACCUAAAACUUUUUUUUUGGGGAAAAAAAAAAUGGGAAGGAAACGGUGCGCGCCUGGACGCUACCUAAUAAGAAGCCCACGCCAAACUAGGUC
rnacentral:rRNA from 1 species